UCCGUAGGCGGGUAAUUAAGUCAGAGGUGAAAUCCCACAGCUCAACUGUGGAACUGCCUUAGAUACUGGUUAUCUUGAGUUUUAGUGAAGUAGAUAGAAUGUGUAGUGUAGCGGUGAAAUGCAUAGAUAUUACGCAGAAUACCGAUUGCGAAGGCAGUCUACUAACUAACAACUGACGCUAAUGGACGAAAGCGUGGGGAGCGAACAGGAUUAGAUACCCUGGUAGUCC
rnacentral:rRNA from 1 species